GACCCCAUACAAGAUACAAGAGCGCCCCCCACUGUCAGCUCCGCACUGAUUAGUCACCUCACAUUCACAGUACAGUGACACAUCGCUGUUUGCUUCAUAUGAUCCCAGCGUGAAGAGGAUGAGUGGGGGUCGGGGUACUUAGUGAUGCCGGUAGACUGGAUCCAUCCACUGUGUAAGAAGGAUUUUGUAAAAAUAAUUUCAGUGAAUCAGAAAGUGAAUUUGAUGCCAGUGAGCGAUUAGGUUGUGAUCAUAGUGAUUAGAUAUUGACAUCAAGUACGUGGGAAUGUUACGGAAUUAUUUUUGUACUGAGAUAUGUCCACUGAUUAGUUGUACUCGGUCAUAUACCAGUAUUGUGUGUCUCCUAUGGAGGAACAAGCUCAGGUUGUGCAGGAGAUGAGCAGUUUGGUGAUAGAACGUGAGCCAUGUGCAAGAGUGGAGACAAGCUUCUGUGAACACAAAUGGUGACAACCGGGCAACUUCACCUUGUUAAUCCUGUAGUUGUCAGGUCCACAGUGUUUCAUCGUCAUCUCAUAGAUGGAUGCAGAGAAAUCAUCCAAGUAGCUGCAGUGUUAGGCUAAUGUCACACUGCCAGCAUGGUUCCGGCUGAGACCAGCCUUCCAGAGACCUCUGGAUCAUUACUGGGUGUUAGCAGAAGGCCCGCCGGCCCCAUUGACCAUAAUGGGGUCCAGUGGAGAUCCAGCUGCUACCUGUCAAACAUGUUGGGAGUCGGCAGACAAAUACCACUGAACGCAGCGUUAUUUGUCAGUCUGAAUCCCGGCACAUUUGCAGGGUAGUGGCUGGAUCUGUGUCGGACAUUCUGGUAACCCCGGCAGUGCUGGAUCCAGAGAGCUCCGUCAGGCUGGUCCUUGCUGGAGCUAUGCUGGCAGUGUGAAGCUAGCCUUAGAAAAUGGUUGUCAGAUAGAAGCAGCAAUUGUGACGAAUGGAAGUCAAGGGCUGUUCUAUCCCAUAUUAUUCCGGUAUAUGGAUAAAUGCAGUCAGCAGGUACCAGACACGUUGUGAAUGUCCAUGUUGUGAUGCUCUUGGGCUCUAAGCUGGAUGUAAUGGAGUCAGCACUAAGAAAGAAGACAUCGCACCUCUACAUAGUAUUCCAGUCAUGAGAUGGAAGAGGCUAAAUCAUGAAGACACGUAUCAUCCCCUCAUCUUCUGCCUCCAGGAGCUUGUUAUUCACAUAGAGAAUAAUUAUCGCUGUGUAAAUAAACUGGAUGAGAAUGUAAAGAGUCUCUGGUGUGGAGGGGGAGGGGAUACAUCUUACAGUAUUUCCUGAUUACUGAUGUGAUGAUGACUUAUCAAUAAAGUCCAUUUACACCAACA